GUCAAGGUGCCAGAGUGGUUAAUGGGCUGCCCUGCUACCAAACCCUUGGUUUCAGUAUAGGCAGUGGCUUCGGUCGCGCAGGUUCGAAUCCUGUCCUUGACG
rfam:Glomerella graminicola M1.001 genomic scaffold supercont1.16, whole genome shotgun sequence.